ACGGGUCCGUCGGAAGGGUAGGAGUAUUCGUAGUAGGCGGACGGGUGGAGUAACGACGUGAGGCAAUCUGUCCCAGACAGGGGGAUAACACUUGGAAACAGGUGCUAAUACCGCAUAAGACCACGGCAUCACAUGGUGCAGGGGUAAAAGGAGCAAUCCGGUUUGGGGUGAGCUCGCGUCCGAUUAGCCAGUUGGCGGGGUAACGGCCCACCAAAGCGACGAUCGGUAGCCGAUCUGAGAGGAUGACCGGCCACAUUGGAACUGAGAGACGGUCCAAACUCCUACGGGAGGCAGCAGUGGGGAAUAUUGGGCAAUGGGCGAAAGCCUGACCCAGCAACGCCGCGUGAGUGAAGAAGGCUUUCGGGUUGUAAAGCUCUGUUAUAGGUGACGAAGGAAGUGACGGUAGCCUAUAAGGAAGCCCCGGCUAACUACGUGCCAGCAGCGGC
rnacentral:rRNA from 1 species